AUUGAACGCUGGCGGAAUGCUUUACACAUGCAAGUCGAACGGCAGCACGGGGGCAGCCCUGGUGGCGAGUGGCGAACGGGUGAGUAAUACAUCGGAACGUGCCCGGUCGUGGGGGAUAACGUAGCUAAAGUUACGCUAAUACCGCAUACGAUCUGAGGAUGAAAGCGGGGGACCUUCGGGCCUCGCGCGAUCGGAGCGGCCGAUGUCAGAUUAGGUAGUUGGCGGGGUAAAGGCCUACCAAGCCGACGAUCUGUAGCUGGUCUGAGAGGACGACCAGCCACACUGGGACUGAGACACGGCCCAGACUCCUACGGGAGGCAGCAGUGGGGAAUUUUGGACAAUGGGCGCAAGCCUGAUCCAGCCAUUCCGCGUGCAGGACGAAGGCCUUCGGGUUGUAAACUGCUUUUGUACGGAACGAAAAGGCUCUGGCUAAUACCUGGGGCUCAUGACGGUACCGUAAGAAUAAGCACCGGCUAACUACGUG
rnacentral:rRNA from 1 species